rnacentral:rRNA from 1 species
UACGGGGGGGGCAAGCGUUGUUCGGAAUUACUGGGCGUAAAGGGCUCGUAGGCGGCCAACUAAGUCAGACGUGAAAUCCCUCAGCUUAACUGGGGAACUGCGUCUGAGACUGGAUGGCUGGAAUCCGGGAGAGGGAUGCGGAAUUCCAGGUGUAGCGGUGAAAUGCGUAGAUAUCUGGAGGAACACCGGUGGCGAAGGCGGCAUCCUGGACCGGUAUUGACGCUGAGGAGCGAAAGCCAGGGGAGCAAACGGG